AAACCUUCAAGCCCUGCUUGGUGUUGGGUGCCUGUCCCGCCCCCGCGCGUGGACUCACCUCAAAUCCAUUGGCGGCCCCCGCACGGCCACGAGCGCAGCAGAAACGCAAACUCGUGCGCAGAGCGGGCGGCUCCCAGAAGCUACACCCCCAUU
rnacentral:misc_RNA from 1 species